GGGGUAUAAUUAUUGUUUUUCUUCUGAAUUUUCCCGAAAAAAGCUCACCACAGCGACCAGACCAGACCAGACCAGCACCUAUAUGCAAACGGAAGACAUCACUAGCAGUGCCCCCAGCAUCCUCCCUCCGUCCGAGACCCCUUCAUCCAUCCAUCCAUCGAAGCUAUUCUUUCAUCAAAUAAAUAACAAAUUUCUCUGUUGGGAGUAUUGGGGGCAUACUGUGUUUCCUUGAAUAUUUCGUUUAUACAAACCCUAGAAAAGAAAAAAAGUACCAAUCAUCCCUUGUCUUCUCCCCUCCUAUAUCACUAGUCGACUAAGCACAAACAUUUGAAAGAUUAUUAUUGCCAUCCAUCCCCACUGCCACCGCUGCUGCUUUGUUUGAUCGUAUUGUAUUGUUUCUUUCUUCUACUACGACGACUACUACUACUACCAGGGUCUGAAGAUUCAGCGGUGCUCACACCCUCCUCCUCGAAACGACUCUUCGCUUCUUCCUGCAUAUAUACACCACGGGAGCGCUCGCGUAUAUGACGUGGGGGAGUGGGUGGCCUCUUUAAAACUGAACAUGGAAAAUGAGGUCAUUGAAUUCGAUAUAGGUCUCGGAGGUGGGGAUGCUGUCAGUGGAGACGAUGACCACCACCACCUGGUCAUUGAUGAAGAUAUGGCCGCCGACGAUGCUUCUCCCACUGGCCCUGGUGGCGGCUUUGGUGGCGGAGAAAUCUACAUUCCCGAAGGGGACCCUGAUCUUGAGCCUUAUGAGGGCAUGGAAUUUGAAUCUGAAGAGGCUGCCAAGGCUUUUUACAACUCAUAUGGUCGCCGCGUUGGAUUCAGCACCCGUGUUAGCUCCUCCAGGCGGUCCAGGAAGGAUGGAGCAAUCAUACAGAGAUCCUUCGUUUGUGCCAAAGAAGGGUUCCGGAACUUGAAUGAGAAGCGCACCAAAGAUAGAGAGAUCAAGCGCCCCCGCACCAUUACCCGAGUGGGAUGCAAAGCAUCCUUGUCCGUGAAGAUACAAGAUUCCUCCGGGAAAUGGGUUGUCUCCGGCUUUGUCAAGGAACACAAUCACGAACUUGUUCCCCCAGAUCAGGUGCAUUGCCUUCGCUCCCAUCGCCAAAUUUCUGGCCCUGCCAAGACCUUGAUAGAUACUUUACAGGCAGCUGGAAUGGGGCCCCGGAGGAUUAUGUCAGUUCUGAUCAAAGAGUAUGGUGGUAUCAGCAAAGUUGGAUUUACAGAAGUAGACUGUAGGAAUUACAUAAGAACUAAUCGGCAGAGGAGCUUUGAGGGAGACAUUCAGCUUCUUCUGGAUUAUUUGAGGCAAAUGCAUGCUGAGAAUCCUUCCUUCUUCUAUGCUGUGCAGGGCGAUGAGACAGGUAAUGUCUUCUGGGCUGAUCCAAAGGCAAAGAUGAACUACACUUACUUUGGUGAUACUGUAACAUUCGACACGACUUACAGGUCAAACAGAUACCGUUUGCCCUUUGCACCCUUCACUGGGAUAAAUCAUCAUGGACAGCCUGUGUUGUUCGGCUGUGCUUUCCUAAUGAAUGAAUCAGAAGCAUCAUUUGUUUGGCUAUUUAAGACAUGGCUUAUGGCAAUGUCUGGCCGCCCUCCGUUAUCAAUCACUACUGAUCACGAUGUGGUGAUACAAGCAGCCAUUUUGCAGGUCUUCCCGGACACCCGGCACCGUUUCUGCAAAUGGCACAUCUUUAAGAAAUGCCAGGAGAAGCUGUCCCAUGUGUUUCUUAAGCACCCAAAUUUCGAAGCGGACUUCCAUAAAUGUGUGAACUUGGCUGAUUCAAUUGAGGAGUUUGAAUCUUGCUGGUUAUCACUUGUUGAUAAGUAUGAUCUUAGGGAUCAUGAGUGGCUUCAGACGAUAUACUCUGCACGCAGGCAAUGGGUACCAGUGUAUUUGCGGGACACAUUUUUUGCAGAAAUGUCAAUAACACAACGUAGUGAUAGUAUGAACUCAUAUUUUGAUGGGUUUGUGAACGCAUCAACCAAUCUAAAUCAGUUCUUUAAACUGUACGAGAAAGCAUUGGACAGUCGCAAUGAAAAAGAAGUGAAAGCAGAUUUUGAUACAAUGAACGCUUCUCCUGUUCUGAAGACCCCUUCCCCCAUGGAGAAACAAGCAUCUAAGCUGUACACGAGAAAAUUAUUUGCAAGAUUUCAAGAGGAGUUGGUUGGCACUCUUACUUUCAUGGCAUCCAAAGUGGAAGACAAUGGAGAGGUGACAGCGUAUCAAGUAGCAAAGUUUGGGGAGGAUCAUAAAGCUUAUUAUGUUAAAUUUAAUGUCCUGGAGAUGAGAGCAACUUGCAGCUGCCAGAUGUUUGAGUUCUCAGGUCUUCUUUGCAGACAUAUAUUGGCCGUCUUUAGAGUGACAAAUGUACUUACUCUUCCAUUGCAUUACAUUUUGAAACGAUGGACAAGAAAUGCCAAGAGCACUAUUAUGUUAGAAGAACGUCCUUGUGAUGUAUUUAGCAGUUAUUUGGAGUCUCAUACUGUCCGAUAUAAUACCUUACGCCAUGAGGCCUUCAAAUUUGUAGAUGAAGGGGCAGAAUCUGUUGACUGUUACAACGUGGCAAUGGUUGCUCUACAAGAGGCUGCCAAAAGAGUUGCCCUUGCAACAAAGAAUGAGGGAAAAACACCCAUGAUCAAUGGGCGUAUCAGGGAGAACUCAACCAAUGAUGGAAGCCAGGCAAAUUAUAGUAGUGGGGAUCACCCCAGGAGCAUCUCUCAGCAAUUAUCUGAGUAUUCUUGGGUUAGGAUUGUAGAGUAUAUAUGGCUGAAUUGACGAGUGAAUCAACAACUAUUUCUCAGCCACUAAAGGGGGAGAGUUCCAUCAUGAUUACUACAUCUGACACUAUGAAUCCUAGCCUUAAAAUCGCUUCUCUAUUUAAUGGUCAAAACUACCUAGCAUGUCAGACUCUUUUUUUCAAGAGUAUGGGAAAGAUGGGUUAUGUUGAUGGGAGAAUGCAAGCACCUAGUAUUACAGAUUCCAGUUAUGACCAGUGGGAAAUUACAAAUUCUCUGAUCAUGGGAUGACUGAUACACUCUAUGGUUCUUGAGAUUGGUGAAGGAUACUUGUCUAUGGAUACUGCACAAGACAUUUGGGAGGCUGUGGCUACUACUUGUUCCCGCAAAAGGAAUUUCUCCCAGGCAUUCAAAUCGCGUUGAUCCAUUGAAAGGUCGAUACAAGAUGAGAUGACUAUCCUCCAGUAUUUUACCUUUCUUAGCAAUGGGUGGAAGUGUCUUGAUCACCUUCAGGAUUACAAGCCUGUCUGUCCAACUAAUUCUGCUGGUUACCGAAAGUUUGUGGACCACGAGCGGGUCUUCAAGUUCUUGGAAGGUCUGAAUGUGGAGUAUGAUCCGGUUCGAAGCAGUCCUUGGCAUGGAUGUGCAUUAUUCUCUCGAGGACGCCUUUGCUUUUGUGCAGCAUGAGGAGUCACCGCUCUGCUAUGCUUCUUUCUACCACUACUAAUCACUCUGCCUUGGUUUCUGCACCCCCUCGAGAUGGAAAGCGGGUAAAACGUGGUUCUCAUCCUUCUUCUGAGAAAAAUCAUCUUUUCUGUGACUACUGUUGUCGAUCUUGCCACACCUGAGAGACUUGUUGGAAGCUGCAUGGGACUUCUUCUGGCGGCCGAGGCGACCGCCCUGGUUCUUGCAGGGGUAGAUCCAGCCAGUCUAGAGGUUGAGGGGCCAAUGCUCGGGCACAUCUUUCAGACACGGUUGAGCCACCACCUUCAUCUCCAGUUGACUUUCUGGCUGCUGAUGUUUCGGGGUUAUCUGCCUCGGAUUUUGAGAUUGCUCUUUGCUACUUGCUUGACCGUCGAGUCUCCACAUCUACCACAGGACCUUAUCAUGAGGAAGGAAAAUGGCAGUGGUAGAGAGGAACAUGGUCUCUACAUUCUAAUUUAGACAGAUAAACUGGCUCACUCAUUUAUGCAGUUACCAUCCACCAAGGAAGACCUUUGGCUAUGGCACCGCCGUUUAAGACAUCUUUCUUUUGUACUCCUUAAGCAUUCCCUUUUGUUUUUGAGAAA